rnacentral:rRNA from 1 species
GGGACAACCCGCCGAAAGGCGGGCUAAACCCGCGUACAUGCCACCGGGGCAUCCCGGAGGCAGGAAAGGCUUCGGCCGGACAGGGAUGGGCAUGCGGCGCAUUAGGCAGUAGGCGGGGUAACGGCCCACCUAACCGACGAUGCGUAGGGGUUCUGAGAGGAAGGUCCCCCACACUGGUACUGAGACACGGACCAGACUCCUACGGGAGGCAGCAGUGAGGAAUAUUGGUCAAUGGUCGGGAGACUGAACCAGCCAAGCCGCGUGAGGGAGGAAGGUACAGAGUAUCGUAAACCUCUUUUGUCAGGGAACAAAGACUGGGACGCGUCCCCGGAUGAGUGUACCUGAAGAAAAAGCAUCGGCUAACUCCGUGCCAGCAGCCGCGGUAAUACGGAGGAUGCGAGCGUUAUCCGGAUUUAUUGGGUUUAAAGGGUGCGCAGGCGGUCUGUUAAGUCAGCGGUCAAAGCCCGGGGCUCAACCCCGGCCCGCCGUUGAAACUGGCAGUCUCGAGUUGGAGAGAAGUAUGCGGAAUGCGCGGUGUAGCGGUGAAAUGCAUAGAUAUCGCGCAGAACUCCGAUUGCGAAGGCAGCAUGCCGGCUCCACACUGACGCUGAGGCACGAAAGCGUGGGUAUCGAACAGGAUUAGAUACCCUGGUAGUCCACGCAGUAAACGAUGCAUAAUGGCUGUCCG